UUGCUAGUUGGGGUGGUUUUCUGUAUUGACACUCUGACUGGACCCUGCAAAUGCCUUUGACACAAAGUUGCUCUGAAAUCAUCUGCAUGAUGACAAAGAGACAAAAACUUAGUUUGUGUCAAGUUUUGGCAGGUAUGCUGCUUCUGUACUGCUGAAGGACAGUGAUAAGCCUGACCCUGUGUUUCUAGUGAUUGUGUCAGCCUUAGGGUUUGUCUAACAAAGACUCAAGAGUAUAUAUUCAACUAUACAGCAGCAUACGAGGUUGUGGUUCUGCGGGAAAUUGCUUUUGGGGCUCUUGAGCACGAAUAACACUUUACAGCACUGCUGCCUUGUCAAUACUGCUUAAAGUACUCACCAUUUCGGAAGGAAGUGAUACAGAAUGACAGGGAAAAUCAGGCCAAUACACCUAUCUGCACACACAUCAGAAUUGUGUUUUCCCUUCACUAUUGGACAACAGACUACCCCAAAACCCAGGAGAAAUAAUAUGCAGACAAUGAAAAUGAAAGUCAGAUUAAUCCCACUUGGCACUAUAAACAAUAACAGAAACUGGUGAGUUUUUUGUUAGUACCACAGGCACUAGUGAAUUGAGCACUUCAAGAUAAUAACCUGCUUGGUUUCCUCUGAAGGUCAUUGGCUUUGGCAUAAUCAUAACAGUUCCAAAUGAAAUUAACUAUGAACACUUUCAUUCUAAACCAAUAUAUUGGGUUUGGGUGGCCAGGUUUUGGUAACAGAGGGGAUACAGGGGUGGCUCCUGUGAGAAGCUACCAGAAGUUUCCUCCAUGUCCUGUAGAGCCAAUUUCAGGUGCCUCCAAGAUGGAUGUGCUGUUGGCCAAGGCUAGGCCAAUCAGAAGUUAUGGUAAUUCCUCUGUGAUAACAUAUUUCUGAAGAAGAAGGAAAAAAAGUUUUUGUGUGACGUAAUUGCAACCACAGAAGAGAAGGGUGAGAGCACAUGAGAGGGACAUGUCUGCAAACACCAAGGUCAACAACAGAGGGAAAGAAGGUGCUCCAGGCACCAGAGCUGAGAUUCCCGUGCACCCUGUGGUGAAAACCAUGGUGAGUCAGGCUGGCCCCUGCAGCCCAUGGAGAUCCACAGGGAUGCAGAGACCUGCAGGCCCUGAAGGAGACUUAUGUCAGAGCAGGUGGAUGUGGGAGAGGAGGCUGUGAAUCUAUGGGAGGCCUGUGCUGGAACAGGCUCCUGGCAGGGACCUGCAGACCCAGGAGAGAGGAGCCCAUGCUGCAGCAGGUUUCCCAGUAGUAUUUUGUUACCCCAUGGGGAAACCACAUUGGAGCAACCCACCUUUAAAGAAGAGUUGAAGAGUGACCCACAUUGUAGAGGUUCUGGAGGACUGCUGCUUGUGGGAUGGGGUCAUGUUGAAGAAGUUCACCGAGAACUAUCUUUCAUAGGUGAGACCCCACAGUGGAGCAGGGGAGAGACUCCUCUUCCCGAGCAGAGACAGAAACAACCUGUGAUGACUGUAACCCCCAUUCUUGGUCUUCCUGUGCUGCUGGGGCAAAGAGAUGGAGCUGGGAAGGAGGAAGGGAUGGGAGGAAUGUGUUUUUAGGGUCUUAUUUUACUUCUCAUUAUACUGCUCUGAUUCUGCUUGUAGUUAAUUCAAGUAAUGUCUCUAAUUCUGGCCUGUUUUACCAGUGACAGUAUUUGGUGAGCAAUCUCUUCCAGUCCUUAUCUCAAAUCAUGAACCCUUCAAUAUAUUUUCUUUCCCAUCUCUAGUUGCAGAGGGGAGUGAUACAGUGGCUUUGGUGGGUGCCUAGAAUCAAGCCAGGGUCAACCCACUAUAACCAAAUAUUCAUAACAUGCUUUUAAUUAAUUAUAUAGAGUAAUAGAGCAUACUAGAUUCAUCAUGCCCCAUUAUGUAAAUUAUUUUGGUUUUUUUCACUUAAUAUUUAUUAUAUAUAUAUAUAUAUAUAUAUAUUUCAUUUCCAUUACAUACAGACAUUUAAAUUAUGCAUAUAAUAAUUCAUACAUGGAAGUAGUUUAAGAUUUUCAUUCAAUUCAGUAUGUAUAUUUUCUUUUAGAAAAUUUUAAAAUUUAAUUAUUUUUUGAAAACUUAGAGUUAAUAGAAUAGCUGUGUAGAAGCUUGAGGUGAAAGGAUUAUUAGUUAAGUGGUUAGAGCAUAGCACUACUAACCUCAUGGUUGUGGGUUUGAUCCCUGUCUGGACCACCCUUUUCAGAGGUGGACUUGAUGAGCCUUGUGGAUCAACAAGUAAGAAUAUUUUGUGAAAGUCUGAUGAUUAUAUAGUUAUUACUGCUUGAUACUCCAGAUGGUACUAUUAAUUAAUUAAUCAAUCAUCUAUAUAGUACUAAGAACAUAAGUGGCAUUGUAUGAAAAAUAACUUCAAUGUGCCGUGGAGUUCAAAAUAACACACCAUACAAAAGAAACAAAGACAAAGCAUGGGAUGCAUGGGAAACUGCCGAGAGAGAAUAGUGGUAAGUAAUCCAGGGAAGAUUGCCUAGAACAAAUGAGUUCUCCAAAAGGGUUUGAAGGAAGAGAUAAAGGUAUAUGGUCUGUUCACAGGGUUGCCAGAGACCUCUUGGGUCAGCUCCCUGCAGACAAAUCAAAUUGAAACCACUUUCAUAAACCCUCAGAGUUCUAUCUUUAAAGCAUUUUGGGGGUGAAUUGCCCUCAGUACUUGUACCUGGAAGACUGGCCCAGAACUGUGCUCUGAGAGUUAGAACCUGUCUUCUCAUUCCAACUUCAACUUACUCAUAGAGGUUGAUAGUCACCUGUUCCUAUGGCAGUCAGAUCUUUUAUCUUUAAAAACAGUUUUCUCUCAUAUGCUUGCCACCAUGACAUAGUCACACACAGUAAUAUCUUCCCUCAUAUUUAAUUUUUUCAGGAUUAAUCUCUUAUCCUGAGAUUCAGGUUCCCCAUCUCCUUAAAAAACUCUACAUCUUCGGAUAUUAUUUCAGUUCAUUUUUCUGCAGUAUACUGACAAAAAUGGAACAUGACAUUAGAUUUGAAAUCUAAAUCAGACCUUUAAAAUGGCAUUCUGUCAAUUCUUUUCCUGGGAAAACCUCUCCAGAUUCACUAAAGUCACCACUGAAUUUUCUCUGUGGUAGGAGGUAGCCACUCUGUAAUCCUGUCAUUAGUUAGUACCACUAGCCAUUUCACAGAUGAAGUAUCUCCUAGAAAAAAAUUAUUUUUGUUAUCCAAAGCAUUAAGCUGAUUCAGCAAGAGGACAAAAUCAGCCUACAAGAAUACUGUCAGAUGCCAGUGAUAUAUAGACCCAAAAAAACCCCUGAGAUCUGAUGAUGAUUCCUUUGUAUUAUAUGCACAACUGCAAGCAGAUGGAGGAUUCUGUUACCUUGUCCAAAAGCUUCUUCAUCUAAAGGUGGUAGGAAACCAGAGUUAAACCCAGAAGAAUCAUUAUAUGCAAUUUUCUUUUAGCAUGAUAACAUAUUGAACUGGUUUUUUCUGACUUUUUCCUGUUGGGAUUUUAUGGUCUGCUAGAAUCCAGACACCGUUUUCACCAACAUGAAACCUUUCCAUUGCAGGACUCCCUUCCUGUCUUCAUCCUCAAGGAAAUGUUUUCCUCUCUAGGUUCUGCAUACCUUCUUUGCAAAGUUGUUGUUCCUUAAAGAAAGAGGCUCUCACAUUCUCUAUUCAGUUCAUUUCAGUAACUAGUUUCCCUCAAUGCAUCUGAAAAUCUCUGUCUAAUAUUUAAUCUUAGUUACUGGCAUUCUCCUCUGAGACUUUUAUUUGUUUUGCACUCAGAUCCUAAUCUCCUUGUAGAUGUUUUCAGAAGUCACACUUUUGGCCCAGUAAAACUCUCCUAUUUGAUUUUUACCCCAUUUUUUUCCACUGCUGGUUUCCUAGACUUUAAGCCUGUUACCUCAAUCGUCUCUACUGUCUCAUUGGAGGGUAGCAAAUAACUGCUUUUUGCACUCUGUCACACACUGAACUGUUCUGUGCUAUUCCAGCACAGGAUCCCUUGCAGUCUCUUGUAAACUGUGAACUACAGCCACACUACCCUUACUAAACACAGCUAAAUCCCUGGAUCUCACCCUUACAGUGGAAAACACAGAGAUUGGACACAGAGAGCAAUGGAGCAUAGAAAACUCAUCACAGUUCCAUGUCCAUUCAUCAAGCUGUCAUUGACAUUUUCACCUAUAAGAAAUAAAGAAAUGAAACAAGAUAGAUUGGGAGGAGAAAUUCUUCAUGGCUAUUGAAGAUAUAUUUAAGAGAACACAUAGAGGCAAGAAAUUUGAGACAAUUUGAUGAUCCCACACAUAACUUGGUUAUUUCACAUUAAAGUUCAAAUUGUCAUAAGAAAUAAAAUUAUAUAGAAUACUUCCAUUCAUGGCCAUAAGUGAUCUCUAGUUUAUCACCUUGUUUGGGAUGGCAGUAUAUACAUAUUUAAGAGCUUCUUUCAUGUGCAAAUGUGGAGUUUCUGCAUAAAUAAAUUUUUAACCCUCUAAUGAGAUCUUGAUUUGGACAGAACAUUGCAGGAAUUUGUUCCAACCAAACCACAGUUGUAAGCCUUCUUCAUACACCUGUGUCUCUGGUGUGUCAGAUCAUUUCUCAAACAUUAAUGAACUAACUGUUUUUUAAGGCAGAAUGACUUCACUGCAAAGCCUUCCAUAAAUUACGCAGGAUUAUGAAAAGGUCUCUCAAGUCUUUGAUCACAAUUCAAACUAAAUGGGUCAUUUAAAAUGUAUUAAAAUAUCAGUUAAUUUAAGUUAAUUUAAAGUUUUGAUUUUUGCCUUGUUUUGGUUAAAGUCAAACACAGAAACAUCAAGUUACUGAAAAGAAUUGUGAUUUAUUCACCAUUUGAUUGGAAAUACAUUCCUGUCAUGCUACCACAUGUCUACUGACAUGAUGUGUAUUACCCUAUUCAGUGUUUCCUAUUAGAAACAAGCUAGCAAUUGCACAUAUUGUUACUAAUUUUAAGGAAUAACACAUGCUAGUAGAUUUAUCUGUGAUUUUGAUUGUGCCAGCCAAAGGUUACAGAUACUUCUUUCAGAGAUUUCUAACACCACUCCUGGAGAUUUAUGUUCUAUAAUGAGCUGAAUUUCAGCUUUGCAAACAGAACAGUACUAAGUAUUUACUAUAAACCUCCUGGGUUUCUUUCAAAAGUUUGAAAUGUGUAUGGAAGAGUAUUUGUUUUAUUUAACAAGCCUAAGUUUACAUAUAUAUAUAUAUAUAUAUAUAUACAUAUACACACACCCGUACAGUGCACACCUACUUUCAUAUUACCACCACUCUA